GGGACCAGGAUCAAGCCAACCAUCUCAUGCUUCUCAGACACUUAUUGACAAGAAUGAAACUGGUCUGGCUUACCGUGACCUUCACCAGCUGGCAGACUACUUGAGAGGAAUGGUGAAGGAAAGUUUCAAUGAACAGAGAGCCAGUGAACAGCUGAUUUGCCAGCUACUGAACACCACUAAACAGUUCUAUGUUCAGCUACGUGCUAGUAACCAAUGUACACCAGAGAUGGAAAAGUACUUUGAGAGUAUUGUAGAGAAAAUGGA